UCUCUUCUUCUUCUUCUUCUUCUUCUUCUUCUUCUUCUUUUGGUAUACAAUAGUCUAUUACAUACUGUUGACAUACGUGGACUAGUCUAUUUACAAAACUUUUACCCCAAUUUACACAAAAUGUAUGUUUCUUUCUUAUGUUCAAUGUAUACAUGUAUAUAUCUUAAAUUGCGAUAUAGUUCCGUAACUUUCUAUCCAGGCG
rnacentral:lncRNA from 1 species